rnacentral:rRNA from 1 species
UACGGAGGGUGCAAGCGUUAUCCGGAAUUACUGGGUUUAAAGGGUGCGUAGGCGGUUAUAUAAGUCAGGAGUGAAAUUCCACAGCUUAACUGUAGGGACUGCUUUUGAUACUGUAAGACUUGAACCAAGAUGAGGUAGGCGGAAUGUGGCAUGUAGCGGUGAAAUGCAUAGAUAUGCCAUAGAACACCGAUUGCGAAGGCAGCUUACUAGACUUGAGUUGACGCUGAGGCACGAAAGCGUGGGGAGCGAACAGG